AAUUAGAAGAGGCGGGAAACAAUCUUCUUCUUCUUCUUCUCCGAGUGAGUGCGAUUCUUCAAGAAUCCAUCACUUCAACAAGUGACCAUGGAUGAUCCUGCAAGUCCUUCUUCUUCAGAUGAUGAUACUACUGCCCCUGGGGUAUUCUGAUUAGAAAAAAUGCCAAAGAAGUCUCUGAGCGAUGUAAUGUCCACCUACUCGACCACAUUAACUAUCCUAAAUUGUUCAUCAGUCAGCUCUCUUUUUGAUUCGUUCCUUGCACGUGCUAAAAGGCGAAAAUGUUGAACUGCUAUGUAGAGCUUUAUACCUUGUGGUCCGGUUCAAUGUAAGAUGUAAAGGACUGGUUUUUUAAUAGUUUUUGGCUUUGAGAACAAAAAUAAAGAGUACAUGUAUAUGAGAUUUCAUUUACUAUUGACGUUGUCACUUUCUGGUUAGUUUUUGAUGUUAAGUACGUUUCUGGAUGUUAAUAGAUGUUUUUUGCAAGUCAUACUGAGAAUUGUUAAUACAUGAUUGUGUUUUUAUUUGAUUACAUUUGAUUCAAGUUGUUAAUACUGAGAAUUUUUAAUACAUUAUUUUUUCAUAAAAGAAAUAAUUUAAUUUAAAUAAACAAAGAAUAUUAUAACUAAUAUAUUUCUAUUUGAAAAUAACAUUGUGACUUUGUUAAAAAAAUCAACAAACUGAUAAGAAAAUAUUUUUAAAAUUGAAUAAUGAAAAAUGAACAUUUGUUUAAUUUAUUUUUCAUCAAAAUUAUAGAAGAAAAUAUUACUUCAUAAAUGUCUCCAAUAUGAAAAAAAAUAGAUCCAUGUGUCAAUAAUUUAACCAAAAUCAAUUUACUUAAUACAAAAUCUGAAAACAUUGACUUUGUGGUGUAGUUCAAUUCAUAAAGAUAUCUUUCUUGUUUUUCACUAUAUGUGGGGUGAGAGACCAAACUUUCUCAUCAAGUUUUAAUGACUUUGUCAUCAAGUUUUGAUUGCUUUCUCAUCAAGUUUUACAUUACUUCCUUAUAAAAGUUUUUUUUCUACUUGACAAGUGUCUUUAAUAUCAACCGUCCAUCAAAGUUAAUUAGUUAACAAUAGCAAUUGUAAUAAAAACUAGAUUUGGACCCGCACAACUGUGCGGGUAUUAAUUUUCAUGUUUAUAUAUAUAUAUAUAUUACAUAAUUAGAAUAUAUUUUUAAAGUUACUUAUAUAUUUAAAUGUUUAUAUAUAACUAUCUUAAAUAUAACAAUUUGAUAGUUUUCAUGCUGUAAGUUAAUUGAUUAUUUCAAAUCAUCACAUAUAUUUGGUAUUUUUUAUUAUAUAUAUUUUAAAAUUAUUUUUUAUUCAAUUAUUAUGAUCCUAAUCCGUAAUUCAAAGCGCUAGAUUUCUUUUAUCAGUAUUUUUUUAUGUUUAUUCAUUUAAGAUAAUAACUAUAUAUAUAUAAAAGUUUAAGAUAAGUUAAUUUUAUACAUGAAUUAUCCAAUUUACUAAUGUUAACCCGUUCUACCAACAUAUUAUAUUUCUAGCAUAAAUUUUUAAUGUUUGUCAAAAUAAAAUAUAUUAAUUUAUCAAUUUAAAAUAAUUUUAUCAUAUUUAGUUAAAUACAAUUUUUUAUUUUAAAAUGAUA